rnacentral:rRNA from 1 species
UGGGGAAUCUUGCGCAAUGGGCGAAAGCCUGACGCAGCCAUGCCGCGUGAAUGAUGAAGGUCUUAGGAUUGUAAAAUUCUUUCAGUAGGGACGAUAAUGACGGUACCUACAGAAGAAGCCCCGGCUAACUUUCGUGC